rnacentral:misc_RNA from 1 species
GAUGAAGAACGCAGCGAAAUGCGAUAAGUAAUGUGAAUUGCAGAAUUCAGUGAAUCAUCGAAUCUUUGAACGCACAUUGCGCCCAUUAGUAUUCUAGUGGGCAUGCCUGUUCGAGCGUCAUUUCAACCCUUAAGCCUCUGUUGCUUAGCGUUGGGAGCCUACCUACCCGGUAGAUCCUCAAAGUUAGCUGGCAGGGUCGAGGUUCGCCCUAAGCGUAGUAGUUCUUUCUCGCUUCUGCGGCUGCCUAGGCCAUCGCCACAAGCCUUUUAAACUUCGAUGGUUGACCUCGGAUCAGGUAGGAAUACCCGCUGAACUUAAGCAUAUCAAUAAGCGGAGGA